AUUGAACGCUGGCGGCAGGCUUAACACAUGCAAGUCGAGCGGGGUGAUGGUGCUUGCACUAUCACUUAGCGGCGGACGGGCGAGUAAUGCUUAGGAAUCUGCCUAUUAGUGGGGGACAACAUCUCGAAAGGGAUGCUAAUACCGCAUACGUUCUACGGGAGAAAGCAGGGGAUCACUUGUGACCUUGCGCUAAUAGAUGAGCCUAAGUCGGAUUAGCUAGUUGGUGGGGUAAAGGCCUACCAAGGCGCCGAUCUGUAGCGGGUCUGAGAGGAUGAUCCGCCACACUGGGACUGAGACACGGCCCAGACUCCCACGGGAGGCAGCAGUGGGGAAUAUUGGACAAUGGGGGGAACCCUGAUCCAGCCAUGCCGCGUGUGUGAAGAAGGCCUUAUGGUUGUAAAGCACUUUAAGCGAGGAGGAGGCUCUUUUGGUUAAUACCCAGGAUGAGUGGACGUUACUCGCAGAAUAAGCACCGGCUAACUCUGUGCCAGCAGCCGCAGUAA
rnacentral:rRNA from 1 species